rnacentral:rRNA from 2 species
CGAUGGAAAACAGGUUAAUAUUCCUGUACUGAUUUUUAAGUGGGACCGAGGGACGGAGAAGGGAACGGUUGGUCAAUAUUGGAUGUUGACGGAAACGUUCAAGGUGAUGAGAGAUAGAAUAAAAACUAUUCUUGAGCUGAGGCGUGAUACGGUUUGAUUCCCUGUAUGAGAGCUUUGCUCAAAUUCAAAAUGAAACUCAAUUAGUUGUCAAACUUCCUAGAAAAGCUCGAACUUCCAAUACUUAAAAAUUACCCGUACCCGAAACCGACACAGGUAGGUAGGUAGAGUAUACCAAGGGGCGCGAGAUAACUCUCUCUAAGGAACUCGGCAAAAUGGCCCCGUAACUUCGGGAGAAGGGGUGCCCUCAAUUAAGAGGGCCGCAGUGACCAGGCCCAGGCGACUGUUUACCAAAAACACAGGUCUCCGCUAAGUCGUAAGACAAUAUAUGGGGGCUGACGCCUGCCCAGUGCCGGAAGGUGAAGGAAGUUGGUUACUUGAACAUUUGUUUGAGAAAGCUGACAACCGAAGCCCCGGUGAACGGCGGCCGUAACUAUAACGGUCCUAAGGUAGCGAAAUUCCUUGUCAGGUAAGUUCUGACCCGCACGAAAGGUGUAACGAUCUGGGCACUGUCUCGGAGAGAGGCUCGGUGAAAUAGACAUGUCCGUGAAGAUGCGGACUACCUACACCUGGACAGAAAGACCCUAUGAAGCUUUACUGUAGCCUGGAAUUGAAUUUGGGCUUUUCUUGCGCAGUCUAGGUGGGAGGCGUUGAUAGUUCCUUUCCGGAGGAGCUGGAGCCAUCAGUGAGAGACCACUCUGGAGAAGCUAGAAUUCUAAUGGCGAUCCUUGAAUCAGGACGCUUGACAGUUUCAGGUGGGCAGUUUGACUGGGGCGGUCGUCUCCUAAAAGGUAACGGAGAUGUGCAAAGGUUCCCUCAGGCUGGACGGAAAUCAGCCGAAGAGUGUAAAGGCAUAAGGGAGCUUGACUGCAAGACCUACAAGUCGAGCAGGGGCGAAAGCCGGCCUUAGUGAUCCGACGGUACCGAGUGGAAGGGCCGUCGCUCAACGGAUAAA